rnacentral:rRNA from 1 species
UUUAACGGCCGCAGUAAUUUGACUGUGCUAAGGUAGCAUAAUAGUUUGUCUCUUAAUUAGAGUCUAGAAUGAAAGAUAAAAUAAACUCUAACUUUCCUUCUUCCAUAAAUUUAACUUUAUUAUUGAGUUAAAAAGCUCAAAUAUCUAAAAAAGACGAUAAGACCCUAUGAAAUUUUAUUAGCACAAAAUUGUACUUAUAAUUUAUAAAAAAACAAGCACAAAUUAAAGAUAAUUCAGUUGGGGCGACUUUAAUUUAAAUAUAAACAAUUAAAAUACUCAAUAAAUAAGUUUAAAUAUCUAAGAACCCUAAUGGUUUAAUUGACUAAAUUACUCUAGGGAUAACAGCGUAAUUUUCCUGGAGAGCUCCUAUUGAUAGGAAA